UACGUAGGGGGCGAGCGUUGUCCGAAUUUACUGGGCGUAAAGCGCGCGUAGGCGGUUUUUUAAGUCUGGGGUGAAAGGUUCAGCGCUCAACGCGAACAGUGCCCUGGAUACUGGGAGACUUGAGUGUGGCAGGGGGGACCGGAAUUCCUGGUGUAGCGGUGAAAUGCGUAGAUAUCAGGAGGAACACCGGUGGCGAAGGCGGGUCCCUGGGCUAACACUGACGCUGAGGCGCGAAAGCGUGGGGAGCGAACGGG
rnacentral:rRNA from 1 species